rnacentral:rRNA from 1 species
UUCGCAAUGCCCGAAAGGGUGACGAAGCGACGCCGCGUGUGGGAAGAAGGCCUUCGGGUUGUAAACCACUGUCGGGAGUUAAGAAAUACAAGGAUAUUAAUAGUGUCUUUGUUUGACUAAUGCUCCGGAGGAAGCCACGGCUAACUCUGUGCCAGCAGCCGCGGUAAUACAGAGGCGGCAAGCGUUGUUCGGAAUUAUUGGGCGUAAAGAGCACGUAGGCGGCUAUGUAAGUCGGUCGUGAAAGCCUUCCGCUAACGGGAGAACAGCAUCCGAUACUGCAUGGCUUGAGUGCGGGAGGGGAGAGUGGAACUUCUGGUGGAGCGGUGAAAUGCGUAGAUAUCAGAAGGAACACCGGCGGCGAAGGCGACUCUCUGGUCCGUAACUGACGCUGAGUGUGCGAAAGCUAGGGGAGCAAACGGGAUUAGAUACCCCGGUAGUCCUAGCCGUAAACG